GCAGUCGAGCGGAGAAUUGGAGCUUGCUCCAAGUUCUUAGCGGCGGACGGGUGAGUAACACGUGGGCAACCUGCCCUGCAGAUCGGGAUAACUCCGGGAAACCGGUGCUAAUACCGAAUAGUUUGUCCCCUCUCCUGAGGGGACACGGAAAGACGGUCUCGGCUGUCACUGCAGGAUGGGCCCGCGGCGCAUUAGCUAGUUGGUGGGGUAACGGCCCACCAAGGCGACGAUGCGUAGCCGACCUGAGAGGGUGAUCGGCCACACUGGGACUGAGACACGGCCCAGACUCCUACGGGAGGCAGCAGUAGGGAAUCUUCCGCAAUGGACGCAAGUCUGACGGAGCAACGCCGCGUGAGUGACGAAGGUUUUCGGAUCGUAAAACUCUGUUGUGAGGGAAGAACAAGUACCAACUAACUACUGGUACCUUGACGGUACCUCACCAGAAAGCCACGGCUAACUACGUGCCAGCAGCCGCGGUAAUACGUAGGUGGCAAGCGUUGUCCGGAAUUAUUGGGCGUAAAGCGCGCGCAGGCGGUCCUUUAAGUCUGAUGUGAAAGCCCACGGCUCAACCGUGGAGGGUCAUUGGAAA
rnacentral:rRNA from 1 species